AUUGAACGCUGGCGGCAGGCCUAACACAUGCAAGUCGAGCGGCAGCGGAAGGAAGCUUGCUUCCUUGCCGGCGAGCGGCGGACGGGUGAGUAAGGUAUGGAGACCUGGCCGAAGGCGGGGGAUAACCACUGGAAACGGUGGCUAAUACCGCAUAAUCUCUAAGGAGCCAAGUGGGGGACCGUUCAGGCGUCACACCUUUGGAUGAACCCAUAUGAGAUUAGAUAGUAGGUGGGGUAAUGGAUCACCUAGGCGACGAUCUCUAGCUGGGUCUGAGAGGAUGAUCAGCCACACUGGGACUGAGACACGGCCCAGACUCCUACGGGAGGCAGCAGUGGGGAAUAUUGCACAAUGGGCGCAAGCCUGAUGCAGCCAUGCCGCGUGUAUGAAGAAGGCCUUCGGGUUGUAAAGUACUUUCAGUCGUGAGGAAGGUGUUAAGGUUAAUAACCUUAGCAAUUGACGUUAGCGACAGAAGAAGCACCGGCUAACUCCGUGCCAGCAGCCGCAGUAA
rnacentral:rRNA from 1 species